rnacentral:rRNA from 1 species
GCCUAACACAUGCAAGUCGAGCGAGAACCAGUCCUUCGGGACUGGGGACAGCGGCGAACGGGUGAGUAACACGUGGGUAAUCUGCCCUCGAUUCUGGGAUAGCCCGGGGAAACCCGGAUUAAUACCGGAUAGCCUCUCGAGCUUACGAGCUCUUGAGAAAAGGUAGCUUCGGCCUCCGAUCGAGGAUGAGCCCGCGGCGGAUUAGCUAGUUGGUGGGGUAAUGGCCUACCAAGGCAACGAUCCGUAGCUGGUCUGAGAGGACGAUCAGCCACACUGGGACUGAGACACGGCCCAGACUCCUACGGGAGGCAGCAGUGGGGAAUCUUGCGCAAUGGGCGAAAGCCUGACGCAGCGACGCCGCGUGGGGGAAGAAGGCCUUCGGGUUGUAAACCUCUUUCAACAGGGACGAAGCCACUCGGGUUAAUAGCCCAGAGGGUGACGGUACCUGCAGAAGAAGCCCCGGCUAACUACGUGCCAGCAGCCGCGGUAAU